rnacentral:rRNA from 1 species
CCUACGGGGGGCUGCAGUGGGGAAUUUUGCUCAAUGGGGGAAACCCUGAAGCAGCAACGCCGCGUGAGGGAUGACGGCCUUCGGGUUGUAAACCUCUUUUGUCAGGGACGAUAAUGACGGUACCUGGCGAAUAAGCCACGGCUAACUACGUGCCAGCAGCCGCGGUAAUACGUAGGUGGCAAGCGUUGUCCGGAUUUACUGGGCGUAAAGAGCGCGCAGGCGGUCGGAUAAGUCGAGUGUGAAAGCCCCUGGCUCAACCAGGGAGGGUCAUUCGAUACUGUUCGACUCGAAGGCAGGAGAGGGAAGUGGAAUUCCGGGUGUAGUGGUGAAAUGCGUAGAUAUCCGGAGGAACACCAGUGGCGAAGGCGACUUUCUGGCCUGUUCUUGACGCUGAGGCGCGAAAGCUAGGGGAGCAAACGGGAUUAGAUACCCCAGUAGUC